GAUGAACGCUGGCGGCGUGCCUAAUACAUGCAAGUCGAGCGAACAGACGAGGAGCUUGCUCCUCUGACGUUAGCGGCGGACGGGUGAGUAACACGUGGAUAACCUACCUAUAAGACUGGGAUAACUUCGGGAAACCGGAGCUAAUACCGGAUAAUAUAUUGAACUGCAUGGUUCAAUAGUGAAAGACGGUUUUGCUGUCACUUAUAGAUGGAUCCGCGCCGCAUUAGCUAGUUGGUAAGGUAACGGCUUACCAAGGCAACGAUGCGUAGCCGACCUGAGAGGGUGAUCGGCCACCCUGGAACUGAGACACGGUCCAGACUCCUACGGGAGGCAGCAGUAGGGAAUCUUCCGCAAUGGGCGAAAGCCUGACGGAGCAACGCCGCGUGAAUGAUGAAGGUCUUCGGAUCGUAAAACUCUGUUAUUAGGGAAGAACAAAUGUGUAAGUAACUAUGCACGUCUUGACGGUACCUAAUCAGAAAGCCACGGCUAACUACGUG
rnacentral:rRNA from 1 species